UGUAAAAACAAUUUCAAUAAUCUUGGUCUUCGUCUUCUAAACCACCUACCGCAAUACAUUAAAGAGAUACCAGCAUUAUGUAAAUUUAAAAUUACUUUGAAAACAUUUCUAUUAAAACAUUGCUUUUAUAGCAUAGAUGAGUUCCUGUCCUAUGUGGACAAGACUUAGUUCACAUUAGGAUCAUAUAAUAAUUUGAAAGUAAGAACAAUUGAGCUUAGCUUAACACACACUAGGAGUGUAUACUGCGUAACUCUCUUCUUGCAGGAAACAGGAUGCCAUGUGCUGGAGAAAACACAGCAGGGACUAUGGGAUAUGGAGCCGAGGCGGUGGGAGUGGUGCUGCUAGAAACCAGUGUAUCUGGGAGGUCUUGUGACCGGCCAAUUCGAUCAAGGUUUUCCGUGGUUUUCCUUGGUCCCAGAGCAAAUGCUGAGUUGGUACCCAAAUUCCACGUUGCACUGCAUGCUUCACAUGCAGCCCCCCCAAUAGUAACACCAUGAAACUUAUUAUACUCUAACUACACAAGAAUGACAUGUCUUAUAUCAUGUAUAAUGAUCCAUGGACACGAAAUAAAUGAAAUGACAUGAAAUGAAAUGAAAUGAAAUGAAGGUGCUUAAGGUCAUCUUGAUGAUCUUGAUUUUUCGUUGAAGGCUUCGGGCGUUGACUCAGUUAACCGUAAUAUCGGUAAUAACGUAAUACUGUGUAUGACUGCGUAGCUCCGUAGUUUGUAGCGUGUAUGCUCCAUUGAGUUGUGUCGUGCAAUUAAUUAGAUUAAUAAGUAAGUAGGGAUUUUGAUUUGAUGUUGUGGAACGAGAGUCUACAUUUACUCAUGAAUUUACAUAUGUGUGUUAAUUUUGUAUAUCGAUUAUUAUGCUUACUAUGCCCAGUGAAAUUAAAAACAAACGUGAAGUCAAAAAGUGUUGUUACGAUAUUUCAUCGAAAUCGUAUUUCUGUAUUUUAAGCAUCUUUCGGUCUAGCCUAAAGAAGGACCAUAGAAUAUCAAGAAACUCUGAGUGUACUGUGAUUGUGUUAUAAUUCUUGUAUUGUUUCUUGCAGGAUAAAUGGGAAGAAUAAAAUGUUUGCUCCUGGGUGCGUAUCAUGCAGUGAGCAGACUGGAAUCAAUUCUUCUAUUUUCCCAGGGAUUCAGCACGAAUACAGCAACUUUCCCGAAGGCGAACAUGGUGGUGCUCGGUGAGUGCAGAGUUCUGUUAUUCAACUGGCUCCCUAUGCCUGCCGCCUGAGUGUAGUGGUUCCCCCUGGAGGAUGGACCGUUUGUCUAACGUGAAGCACUUGUUCUGACUACAAGAAGUGCUUCCAUUGCCAUUAUCUAACCCAUAAAUACUCUAUAUUUUCCUCAGGCACAUUGUAACAAAGCUUACAGUUGGGCCGUCAUCAUUCUUUAUCAUCUUUUACUUUCUAAGCUAACAAGUGAUUGCGUGACGCCGUACAGACAUAAUAGGAUAUGUGAUUCAGCUCCUCAUGACAUUUGUUGCAAACUUCAACUUGUGCAAUAUUAUUCACUGCCAUGACAUCCGUCGUUAGCCUUACUGUGUAGGAAGUCAAUGUGGUCUGACUUCCAGCUUUACUCACUAUAUGUUUUUCUCUGUCCACAUGCUACAUCCUGUGGUCUGAUUACAGUUCAUACAAUUUGCUUGUAUUCUCAUAUGGUUAAUUAAAUGAUUAGUAAUUGUCAAUAUACAAUCAAUACAUAUUCCUCAAUAUCCUUAUUCCUCUAAGGUAAUAUUAAUAUAUAGUAUACGUGUCAGGUGAAGUCGUCUCAUAACACACCAACAUAUAAAAAGUAACAACAUAAUAGCAAAUGAACAAUAUGGUUUUAGGAGUAAAUCAUCUACAAAAAUUACCAGAAAUAAAUUGAUUGAUGAUAUAUUAAAUGUACUGAAUAACAAACUGUUAGUGGGUGGAAUUUUCUGUGAUUUGAAGAAAGCUUUUGACUGUGUCAAUAUCUUUCUGUCUAUCUCUCAGUCUGUCUUCUUGUCUGCCUGCCUAAAGUAGAAUUUUAUGGAAUAGUUGAUAAGGCCAAUGCAUUGAUAAAAUCCUAUCUCAAAGAUAGGUACCAAGGGGUUGUAAAUCCAUUUUACUCAUUGGAGGAAUAUUUUAACUUCAGUAUUUAUUAAUGAUCUUGGUCUGUUAUAUGCUGGAUGCCUACUAGUAUAUUUAUACGUUUCAUUAUUGUAGUCUUGUGUCAUAGUGUGUUGCAUUCUUUUACAUAUAUAUUUUAUAACUGUGUUAAUGAUUUACUCACUGUGAUUUGUCUUUGAUAAUAUGUGUAACUGUUAUGGAUUAAGUACAAUUAAUUUGUAUUUAUAUAAUUGAUUCAACUUGUCCUGUUGUUUUUUACUGUUACUAUAUCCGCUGUUCUUCCAGCCAUGUAAGUUUUCAUGGAAUAUAAAUAAAUGAAUGAAUGUCUGUUUUAGUACAUGA